rnacentral:rRNA from 1 species
UGGGGAAUAUUGGACAAUGGGGGGAACCCUGAUCCAGCAAUGCCAUGUGUGUGAAGAAGGCCUUCGGGUUGUAAAGCACUUUAGUAUGGAAGGAAGGGAGUAGUGCUAAUAUCACUAUUUUUUGACAGUACCAUAAGAAUAAGCACCGGCAAACUCUGUGCCAGCAGCCGCGGUAAUACAGAGGGUGCAAGCGUUAAUCGGAAUUAUUGGGCGUAAAGGGCUUGUAGGUGGUUCUAUAAGUUAGAUGUGAAAACCCUGGGCUUAACCUGGGACGUGCAUUUAAUACUGUAGGGCUAGAGUAUAGUAGAGGAGUGGGGAAUUCCUGGUGUAGCAGUGAAAUGCGUAGAGAUCAGGAGGAACAUCUGUGGCGAAGGCGCCACUCUGGACUAAUACUGACACU